GUCGUUGUAGUAUAGUGGUGAGUAUUCCCGCCUAUAUCGCGGGUGACCCGGGUUCGAUCCCCGGCAACGGCG
rnacentral:tRNA from 1 species